GAUGAAGAACGUAGCGAAAUGCGAUACUUGGUGUGAAUUGCAGAAUCCCGUGAACCAUCGAGUCUUUGAACGCAAGUUGCGCCCGAAGCCAUUAGGCCGAGGGCACGCCUGCCUGGGCGUCACACGUCGUUGCCCCCCCCAUCUACUCCUUCGGGAUUGCGGGGGGCGGAUGAUGGCCUCCCGUGCGCCUCGCCGCGCGGUUGGCAUAAAUACCAAGUCCUCGGCGACGCACGCCACGACAAUCGGUGGUUGCGAAACCUCGGUUGCCCGUCGUGUGCGGUCGUCGCGCAUCGAGGGCUCGAAAAAAUUGCCGAGUUCCGGCUCGGCUUUCAACGCGACCCCAGGUCAGGCGGGGUUACCCGCUGAAUUUAAGCAUAUCAAUAAGCGGAGGA
rnacentral:misc_RNA from 1 species